GAGGUGCAGCUUGUAGCUUAUAUGACAGAAUACAGUGUUAAAAAGAAGUCCAGAUUCAAAUUACAUCUACGCUUCUAAUUCCAAGAAUGUUACAGUUUUACCUUCUGUCUACAGCAAGUAAGAUGCACUGGGGAGUACAUCUAAUGAUUCUUGAAGACCAAGUCCUGAACACAUUGCUGCUUGCAUCAGACCUUCAUAGUUUUCUCAUCCUUGAAGCUUUAAAUUUUACCAUUGUCAGGCGAUGUUCCUACUGUCAAACGUAGAAGUAAUGCGAGGACUGUCAGCUUAAAGACACAGCCAUCUAUCUACCAAAGCUCAGCAGUGAGGGUGGUGGUCAGGAGUGCAGGGGCACAAGUUUCUGGGUAGUGUGCUGAUAGAUCAGACUUACCCUCCCCCUGUCCAGCUCUGUCUCCUUUGACCCUCAUCUUCAGUAUGACCUAGGUCCUUCAUUGUAUUGCUUACAUCACCAACUGCAGCACUGCUAGCAAAUAGGACUCUGCUGCAUUAGCCUUGAAGAAGUGUUUUUGUGGUUGUGAAUGCUGUUAAGAGUCCGUGUCAUUGCUCACGGCUAAACAGGACUCCCUGAACCCAAAGGAAGUGAGGAAGCAUCACAAAGGCUCACACAGUGAGGUAAGGGGCUUUGUUCCAUCGGCUUCACCAAGGACAGGGAGCCCAGGCAGACAGCAUGCUCUGCACUGCCUCACUGCCCCUCUGUGAUUCAUCCCAUCCAUUACAUCACGGAAUUUCUCAUGUGCUCUGCAAUCAAACCAAUGGAGUUUGCUGAUCCCACACCGACCUUGCCACCAGGCUUGGUUGUUCGCCCUGGAAAAGAUGUCCGUGGAUUUUAUCCUGGAGAAGUGGGACGUGUCCACCAGACAUAUGUGCCCAGAAGAGCUCCAGGGCCUUUCAUUAGACUAAGACCAGCUCCAGUAAACUAUGAAGCCCAAACUCCAUUUCAACCUGUCUUUGACAAUUCAGCUCUCAGGAAUUAUGCCCAUUUCCAAAACACAGUGAGAAAGCCCACGGCUGACUGGUACCACCAAACUUCCUACAAGGCAGCAUUUAACUUGUCUAGUCUCAAAACAGGUCAUGAAAAUAAACACACACCAACAACAGUUCCGGUACCAUAUACUACCUGGAAUAGACAUCCUGGUCAGAGGAUGGUUUCUGCUUCCUGGGCCUACAGUUGAGUGGAAGAAUGAAAGAAAAAUCUUGGAAAAGGAGCAUAAAUCACUCUUGCAAUCAAGGCAGUCGUUAUUCUUUAACUGCACUAAUACAUCAUAU
rnacentral:lncRNA from 1 species